UGGGGGAAUAUUGCACAAUGGGGGGAAACCCUGAUGCAGCGACGCCGCGUGGAGGAAGAAGGUCUUCGGAUUGUAAACUCCUGUUGUUGAGGAAGAUAAUGACGGUACUCAACAAGGAAGUGACGGCUAACUACGUGCCAGCAGCCGCGGUAAAACGUAGGUCACAAGCGUUGUCCGGAAUUACUGGGUGUAAAGGGUGCGUAGGCGGAAGAGCAAGUCAGUAGUGAAAUCCAUGGGCUUAACCCGUGAACUGCUAUUGAAACUGUUCUUCUUGAGUGAAGUAGAGGUAGGCGGAAUUCCCGGUGUAGCGGUGAAAUGCGUAGAGAUCGGGAGGAACACCAGUGGCGAAGGCGGCCUACUGGGGCUUUAACUGACGCUGAGGCACGAAAGCAUGGGUAGCAAACAGGAUUAGAUACCCUGGUAGU
rnacentral:rRNA from 1 species